AUUGAACGCUGGCGGCAGGCUUAACACAUGCAAGUCGAGCGGAGAUGAGGUGCUUGCACCUUAUCUUAGCGGCGGACGGGUGAGUAAUGCUUAGGAAUCUGCCUAUUAGUGGGGGACAACAUUCUGAAAGGAAUGCUAAUACCGCAUACGUCCUACGGGAGAAAGCAGGGGAUCUUCGGACCUUGCGCUAAUAGAUGAGCCUAAGUCGGAUUAGCUAGUUGGUGGGGUAAAGGCCUACCAAGGCGACGAUCUGUAGCGGGUCUGAGAGGAUGAUCCGCCACACUGGGACUGAGACACGGCCCAGACUCCUACGGGAGGCAGCAGUGGGGAAUAUUGGACAAUGGGGGGAACCCUGAUCCAGCCAUGCCGCGUGUGUGAAGAAGGCCUUAUGGUUGUAAGCACUUUAAGCGAGGAGGAGGCUACUGAGACUAAUACCCUUGGAUAGUGGACGUUACUCGCAGAAUAAGCACCGGCUAACUCUGUGCCAGCCGCCGCGGUAAAAC
rnacentral:rRNA from 1 species